GACGAACGCUGGCGGCGUGCUUAACACAUGCAAGUCGAACGGUGAAGCGCCUUCCUUUUUGGUGGGUGUGGAUGAGUGGCGAACGGGUGAGUAACAAGUGAGUAACCUGCCCCCUUCUUCUGGAUAACCGCAUGAAAGUGUGGCUAAUACGGGAUAUUCUGGGUCUGUCGCAUGAUGGGUCUGGGAAAGAUAUUGUUUCGGUGGGGGAUGGGCUCGCGGCCUAUCAGCUUGUUGGUGGGGUGAUGGCCUACCAAGGCGGUGACGGGUAGCCGGCCUGAGAGGGUGGACGGUCACACUGGGACUGAGACACGGCCCAGACUCCUACGGGAGGCAGCAGUGGGGAAUAUUGCACAAUGGGCGCAAGCCUGAUGCAGCGACGCCGCGUGAGGGAUGGAGGCCUUCGGGUUGUGAACCUCUUUCGCCAGUGAAGCAGGCCUGCCUCGUUUGUGGGUGGGUUGACGGUAGCUGGAGAAGAAGCGCCGGCUAACUACGUG
rnacentral:rRNA from 1 species